CCCAUAAGCUGUGUGCUCUCAGUAUGGACUAAGUGUAGGCGCAAAACUUUCUGUUUUGGUCCGUCUACUUGUCAUUCUUCUAUUGCCCAUUUCCUACCCUAUCAGCAAGCUGUUGGACUGGUUGCUUGGAAAAGGACAUGCUGUUUUGCUAAGACGCUCGGAGCUGAAAACUUUUGUGGACCUACAUGCUAAUGAGGCAGGCAAAGGUGGUGAGUUGACCCAUGAUGAAACUACUAUGUUCAGUUAUUAUUAUUGCAUUAUAGUAUUUGAGUGUGUAGUUCCAUCCAUGCAGUUUUCAUAAAUGUGGCCUCAUUACUAACCUAUAUAUGCAUAGACAGG